rnacentral:rRNA from 1 species
AGGUUAAGCAGUAAAUGUGGAGCCGUAGCGAAAGCGAGUCUGAAUAGGGCGUUUAGUAUUUGGUCGUAGACCCGAAACCAGGUGAUCUACCCUUGGUCAGGUUGAAGUUCAGGUAACACUGAAUGGAGGACCGAACCGACUUACGUUGAAAAGUGAGCGGAUGAACUGAGGGUAGCGGAGAAAUUCCAAUCGAACCUGGAGAUAGCUGGUUCUCUCCGAAAUAGCUUUAGGGCUAGCCUCAAGUGAUGAUUAUUGGAGGUAGAGCACUGUUUGGACGAGGGGCCCCUCUCGGGUUACCGAAUUCAGACAAACUCCGAAUGCCAAUUAAUUUAACUUGGGAGUCAGAACAUGGGUGAUAAGGUCCGUGUUCGAAAGGGAAACAGCCCAGACCACCAGCUAAGGUCCCAAAAUAUAUGUUAAGUGGAAAAGGAUGUGGCGUUGCCCAGACAACUAGGAUGUUGGCUUAGAAGCAGCCAUCAUUUAAAGAGUGCGUAAUAGCUCACUAGUCGAGUGACACUGCGCCGAAAAUGUACCGGGGCUAAACAUAUUACCGAAGCUGUGGAUUGUCCUUUGGACAAUGGUAGGAGAGCGUUCUAAGGGCGUUGAAGCAUGAUCGUAAGGACAUGUGGAGCGCUUAGAAGUGAGAAUGCCGGUGUGAGUAGCGAAAGACGGGUGAGAAUCCCGUCCACCGAUUGACUAAGGUUUCCAGAGGAAGGCUCGUCCGCUCUGGGUUAGUCGGGUCCUAAGCUGAGGCCGACAGGCGUAGGCGAUGGAUAACAGGUUGAUAUUCCUGUACCACCUAUAAUCGUUUUAAUCGAUGGGGGGACGCAGUAGGAUAGGCGAAGCGUGCGAUUGGAUUGCACGUCUAAGCAGUAAGGCUGAGUAUUAGGCAAAUCCGGUACUCGUUAAGGCUGAGCUGUGAUGGGGAGAAGACAUUGUGUCUUCGAGUCGUUGAUUUCACACUGCCGAGAAAAGCCUCUAGAUAGAAAAUAGGUGCCCGUACCGCAAACCGACACAGGUAGUCAAGAUGAGAAUUCUAAGGUGAGCGAGCGAACUCUCGUUAAGGAACUCGGCAAAAUGACCCCGUAACUUCGGGAGAAGGGGUGCUCUUUAGGGUUAACGCCCAGAAGAGCCGCAGUGAAUAGGCCCAAGCGACUGUUUAUCAAAAACACAGGUCUCUGCUAAACCGUAAGGUGAUGUAUAGGGGCUGACGCCUGCCCGGUGCUGGAAGGUUAAGAGGAGUGGUUAGCUUCUGCGAAGCUACGAAUCGAAGCCCCAGUAAACGGCGGCCGUAACUAUAACGGUCCUAAGGUAGCGAAAUUCCUUGUCGGGUAAGUUCCGACCCGCACGAAAGGCGUAACGAUUUGGGCACUGUCUCAACGAGAGACUCGGUGAAAUCAUAGUACCUGUGAAGAUGCAGGUUACCCGCGACAGGACGGAAAGACCCCGUGGAGCUUUACUGUAGCCUGAUAUUGAAAUUCGGCACAGCUUGUACAGGAUAGGUAGGAGCCUUUGAAACGUGAGCGCUAGCUUACGUGGAGGCGCUGGUGGGAUACUACCCUAGCUGUGUUGGCUUUCUAACCCGCACCACUUAUCGUGGUGGGAGACAGUGUCAGGCGGGCAGUUUGACUGGGGCGGUCGCCUCCUAAAAGGUAACGGAGGCGCUCAAAGGUUCCCUCAGAAUGGUUGGAAAUCAUUCAUAGAGUGUAAAGGCAUAAGGGAGCUUGACUGCGAGACCUACAAGUCGAGCAGGGUCGAAAGACGGACUUAGUGAUCCGGUGGUUCCGCAUGGAAGGGCCAUCGCUCAACGGAUAAAAGCUACCCCGGGGAUAACAGGCUUAUCUCCCCCAAGAGUUCACAUCGACGGGGAGGUUUGGCACCUCGAUGUCGGCUCAUCGCAUCCUGGGGCUGUAGUCGGUCCCAAGGGUUGGGCUGUUCGCCCAUUAAAGCGGUACGCGAGCUGGGUUCAGAACGUCGUGAGACAGUUCGGUCCCUAUCCGUCGUGGGCGUAGGAAAUUUGAGAGGAGCUGUCCUUAGUACGAGAGGACCGGGAUGGACAUACCUCUGGUGUACCAGUUGUCGUGCCAACGGCAUAGCUGGGUAGCUAUGUGUGGACGGGAUAAGUGCUGAAAGCAUCUAAGCAUGAAGCCCCCCUCAAGAUGAGAUUUCCCAACUUCGGUUAUAAGAUCCCUCAAAGAUGAUGAGGUUAAUAGGUUCGAGGUGGAAGCAUGGUGACAUGUGG